rnacentral:rRNA from 1 species
UACAGAGGGUGCGAGUGUUGUUCGGAAUUAUUGGGCGUAAAGGGCGCGUAGGCGGUUUGGUAAGUCAGUUGUGAAAUCCCUGGGCUUAACCCAGGAACUGCAUCUGAUACUGCCAAGCUAGAGUGCGAAAGAGGAGAGCGGAAUUCCCGGUGUAGAGGUGAAAUUCGUAGAUAUCGGGAGGAACACCAGUGGCGAAAGCGGCUCUCUGGGUCGACACUGACGCUCAGUGCGCGAGAGCGUGGGGAGCAAACAGG